AAAUUGAAGAGUUUGAUCAUGGCUCAGAUUGAACGCUGGCGGCAGGCCUAACACAUGCAAGUCGAACGGUAACAGGAAGCAGCUUGCUGCUUCGCUGACGAGUGGCGGACGGGUGAGUAAUGUCUGGGAAACUGCCUGAUGGAGGGGGAUAACUACUGGAAACGGUGGCUAAUACCGCAUAACGUCGCAAGACCAAAGAGGGGGACCUUCGGGCCUCUUGCCAUCAGAUGUGCCCAGAUGGGAUUAGCUUGUUGGUGAGGUAACGGCUCACCAAGGCGACGAUCCCUAGCUGGUCUGAGAGGAUGACCAGCCACACUGGAACUGAGACACGGUCCAGACUCCUACGGGAGGCAGCAGUGGGGAAUAUUGCACAAUGGGCGCAAGCCUGAUGCAGCCAUGCCGCGUGUAUGAAGAAGGCCUUCGGGUUGUAAAGUACUUUCAGCGGGGAGGAAGGUGUUGUGGUUAAUAACCACAGCAAUUGACGUUACCC
rnacentral:rRNA from 5 species